CCCCGGUAGCCGUAGGCCAAGAUCUCGCCGGCGGCGGUGGGCGGGCGGUCGGCGAGCGCGAGGUCGUGGGUCUUGAGGACGAGACGGGCGGUUUCCGCCGACGUGGCCACCACGGCGUGGUAGGAUCCGAGGCGGAGGUGCAUGAGCGGGCCGUAGCGCGUUGCGAGCGCCGCCAGCACACGGUGCGGCGGGAGCGCGCCGGCCAGGACGCCGAGGCUGCCGAUCACCGGCCAACCCCGGGGGCCCGGCGGAAGGUUCAGUGCCUUCCGCCGGCGGCGUGGCGGGAGGACGGAGCUGAGGAAGAAGACGGCCACGAUGGCCGCCAAUGCCAUGGCCACGGACACCGUUGCCGCGAGCUCCAUCGCUGGAAAUGGAAGCCUUGGACUUGGAGAGUGUGGUACGAUGAGGUGGUGUUUCAUGGUGACACAUAUAUAAAGAGGGAAUUCCUUUUUUUUCAGAUUUACUACUCUUCAAAUGCUUGAUUUUUAGAUAUCUCUCAAUCACCAACAUUAUACCAGAAAUUGAAUUGGUGAUUGGAAUUUCAGGUUAGGGUUUGGGAGUUUGGGGUGGGGGAUUUACCUGUGACCCUCGGGUCUAGAGGAAGCUUCAGGGAGGCUCGCCGGCUGGCGGUGGAGGUUGGAGAGACGGUAGUGGAGCGGAGGCGGCAUGCGCGCUACCGGAGCAGGGCGGUGGAGGAUCCCCGGUGGGUGGCAGAUGCGGCAGGGGAGUAUGAGCCAAGCAGAUUAGCAUUGGGUGGCAGAGGUCAGCGAUGGCGGAGGUGGUCGAGGCCGCCGGAGCCGAGCGGGAGGUCAGCGGCAGCGGGGUAGUUGCGUGGCUCUGCGCGAGGUAGACACUGGGAGGAAGACGUACGGGAGAAAUAGAAAGAAUAGAGAAGGAAAGAAAGGGUGGAUAUGUACCCUUGGAUGUAGAUCCAACAGUUUUAGGGAGUGAUUGAGAGAAAAGCAAAUCUCAAAUGUGUGGCAAGGAGUUUUUUUUAUAAACUAAAUUCUGUUAUCAUUGGAGGCACAGUUUGGUCAUGGUGCAUGUGCACAUUGGUCAGUCAUGCACGAAACAGAUUGAUGCAGCGCAACAGUUAGGGUUGUCUCCUGAAAAAGAAAUAUCAGUCCUGAAUUGACAGUUGGAGGCAACUAGCUUCCCAAUCACAAAUUCACACAUGUAAAAAGAUGUUAACUGUGUGGUGUGAUGAAUCACAGUUUAAUUCACAAGGUCCACGGAACCUACAUACUUGAAGGGUGAUGGUGCGAGGGAGCAAAGAAAACAUCAGAUUGCCAUCCAUCAGCUCCUAGUUUCUCGGAUCUUAGUAGUAGAUCCUUCUUGCAGCCAUAACCCACUAUAGCUUCCUUCUUGCAGAAAGUCGAUUUUGGAAGAACUUUUUAUGGGACAAGUUUUCCUUGUAAUUUUGCAUUGCCUUUUUUUUCCUCUUCCUUGAAAGCUUCUAUAGGAAAAAAUAUGAUCCUACUAAAUCUAUAGAUAGCAAUAUACAUUUGUGCUGAAUUUGUAGCAAUCGGUUAACAUUAUGUUACAUUGUGGAAAAAUGUUGAUUUGCUGCUUUGCUGAGUUUGUGGACCGGUUAACAGUUAUGUUUCUUUGUGGAAAAAUAUUAGCUUUGCUGUGAGUUUCUUGGGGACUAGGGGUUACUUCUUUGCUGAAUUUCUGUACAACUUUUAUGCUGAAUGUUUAGUUUAAAAAAAUCAACUUUGGUUUUAGUGGAGCGUAAAUGUUAACGAUUUGCACUAGUAAAAGGUUUAUACCAGAAGUAAAACGUAUCAAUAUAGUACAUCAUUAGAUUUUCUCUUCCCCACACAUCAUCUCACCUAUAAAUAUCAUCACCGAUCAAUACCGCAACUCUUCACGAGCUCGCUGGUACCAAGCUAGGCCCGGCACGAUGGUGGAGUCGUGCCGUACUGUGCCCGCCUACUAGCUGGACCCUUGGCCCAGGCAUGAGCACGUAGGGCCCAUUUCGUAACGUGCUAGCCCGGUUGGCUCAAGGAGCUUGUCGGGGCCAUGUCAGCACUGCACUCGCUGCUCGCUGAUGGACUCUAUGCUACCGCUGCCCACUUGCUCCGCGGCUCAACUCCACCCCGCCACCCCAUCCGUCAACUCACCACUAGCUGCUUAGCCUUGCCCCAUCUGUCCCGUCCCAUCCCGUCAUAGCGUUGCCAUAGAUCCGCGCGGGGAGGAAGAAGAGGAGGGAGCCGCGCCUCGCCUCUCCACACACGCCACCACCUGCUCCACAAUCCCUCGUUAGAUCCACGUGGGGAGAGAGAAGGGGAGGAGAGUGGCAGCUAAUGGCCUUCCUUCCUCGACGCUAAACGGGAGCUGCGGAGUGUAGAGAGGGGGGGGGGUUGGGUGGCGGCGUUGGGGAGGUUGUGGGGGGAGAGAGAGCCGGAGAGGUUGCUGGCUGGCUGGUGCUGGGAAGGCCAGGAGGAGGCUAGGAUUUUGAAAAUUAUGUAUGAGGACGGGUCGGCACCGGGCCUAGUGUUGUUUAACGGGCCGUGCUGCUCGGCAUGAUAGGGUGAUGGCCCAAGCCCGACACGAGCUACCGGUCCGUGCCAGCCUGAGCAAGAUGACCAUCGUGCCAUGCUGGGCUUUCAAGCUCGGGCUUUUGUACAAGUAUAAGUGGGACAUGAGCCAACCAUCACAUGCUGCAGAUACGAGCUCCUUCAAGCAAGAGGCAUAUCCAGCGACGCGGGACCUGAACCAAUCACUGAACAAAAAUGGUGCCCAUGGUAGCUUGCUCAAGCCGGAGGCAUAUCCGGUGAAGUGGGACCCAAGCCAACCGCUUGAUGAUCCUACUUCUUUCAGGAGCUCCUUCAAUGCAGAGACAUACCCAGUAACGUGGCACCCAAGCCAAUUGCCUGGAUGAUCCUACUUCCGGCAUGAGCUCCUUUAAGCCAGAGGCAUUUCCGAUGAAUGGCACUGUAGCAGCAUGGCACCCGAGCCAACCACAUGAUGAUCCUACUUCCCACGGGAGCUCCUUCAAGCUCGAAGCAUGUCAGGUGAUGUGGCACCAGAACCCGGAGACAAGCCAACUACAGGAUGGUCCUUCCGCCCUAGAGAGCUCCUUCACGCCGAAGCCAUGUCCGGUGAAGUGGACCCCUCCUGUUUCAGCAGGUACGUUUCUUCUCCUAGCAGCCGCGCCACCUUGCAAGAUAAGAAUAACAUCAGUGCAUUGGAGCUCCAUUAUUUUUUUUCAGUGCCGUUGAGGCAAAUGAAAGUAGAGAAAUGUGGUUUGAAAACCGCAUCUCUAAUAUGGUGAAUGUGAGUGCUUUAUGAUGUAUGGUGCUUCCUCGUCUUGCUUGCAGCGUCAGAAGUUGCGGAGAAGCCAACACGCAUGCAUGGCAUACAUGUGGUUUGAGGAUUUAGUUAGUGGAGCAUCAGAUUUGAGGGGGAGUUCGUCAGCUCUGUUAGCAGCAGAUUUAGCAGUGCACAGUUUUUGUAGAAGUAUGAUUUGAGGGGCUAAAUGGGGUUGUCAGCUUGUGAGAGACUUGUUGAACUUCAGUUCUACCAAUUUUGAGGAUAUUUAGAUUUGUGGUUUGCUCCGUGUGAGUAGGAUUCUGAAGGUGACAGAAACUAUUUUUCAGCAAAGCUGAGAGUGAUACCUCUUAUUGUAAUCUCGCUUUGGUGUUGUUGCUAGUGCUAUUAUAUCAAGGUUGCAAUUGCCUUGUUAGUGUUGGUGCUGAUGAGAUGUACCUCUAGAUAUUCUAAAGAAGACUCUUGUAUCUAUUAUUGAAAUAAGUGGAAGAGGUUGGGAGUGGGCUGGUUGCCCCGUGGCUUUUACUCCUCUUGCUUGGAGGAGAUUGUUCACGUAAAUCAUUGUGUCAUUUGUGCAUUGUGUGUUGAUUAUUCCGCUGCAAACUGUUAGUUGCAAUUAUCCUCAAGUUCAAUCACAAGAUGAGGGAGUAAUUGUGCGUUAGUGUUGACGGUUAUUCUCAACACUCAACACCAUCCCUAGGAUGUUUCGGAUCCCGCGUGGGUCAGAGAAGGCAGCUCAAGUCGCCGCCACCCUCCGGACAUGCGAGGAGCCGUCCCCGGAGCCUCCGGCCACCUUCGCCGUGGUCACCAUCGUGCACGGGAGGAGGAGGCCGCCACCGGCGCCAUGUACGCUGCGUAUCAGCGGCAGCAAGGCGGUAGUGUCGUGCCUCCCGAUGCCUUACCCGUACAUGGCCCACUACUGCGACCGGCCGGCCGACGUGGCGGCUGUCCGUGUCGAGCUGGCGGCGCGGGCGCCACCGCGAUCGCGAUGUGCCACGCCAACACGACGGGUUGGGAUGCCUGCUACUUCCGGAUGCUGAACAUGACGUGCGAUGUGGCUGCCUGCUGCCUCCGUCGUAGGGCAAAGCGCAUCUCAGGGUCAGCGCGUAUCAUCAGGUCGAAAGGCAUAGUGGAUGGACAACAGGUCAAUAUUCCCGGGAAACUCGCUGCGGAUUUUCCCGCGGUCAACGCGCAUCACGUACGUCGUCGAAUUAGAAUCCGUUGAUGGGGUGGAGGUACGGAGCUCAGAUGGUUGCAGCAAACAUGCAGGUAACUGCAGUUCAGUAACUUUGUAUGUGUGUGUUUCUUCAGUAACUUAGGGUGCGUUUGGUUGGGAGAUAAUGUAGAACGGGACGGUCCCGUUCCAGUUUUUCGGGAUGGGAUGAUCCCAUUUCUUGUUUGGUUGAAUGGGAUGGGUCCGUCCUAAUUUUUUAUUUGGUUGGAGAGAUCGCUAUAGACGGGACGAGCACCGUUUUCUUCUUCUAUUAACACCGUUCGUGGGGCCCACCUGUCAUACUAACAGGUAUCUUCUUCCUCCACCGGCCGGCCGCGGUGGAGCUCGCGCCCGCCGGCCCCGCUCGCCCGCGCCCGCCACGCUCGCCCGCGCCGGCCGCUGCCGUGCUUGCCCCCGCCCGCCGGCCCUGCUCGUCUGCGCCGGCCGCGGCUGCGCUCGCCCGCGCCCGCCGGCCGCGGCCGUGCUCGCCCCCGCCAGCCGGCCCUGCUCGCCUCCGCCGGCCGCGGCCGCGCGAGCCCGCGCCGGUCCCUCCGCGCCCGCUGGCCGCACUCGCCCACGCCGGCCGCGGUGGAGCUCCCGCCCGCCGGCCGUGCUCGCCCGUGCCGGCCGCGGUGGAGCUCCCGCCCGCCGGCCGCGCUCGCCCGCGCCGGCCCCUCCGCCGGCGGCUCCCGCCACCCAAACUCGCCCCCUCCACCGGUGCGGACGGACGGCGCGUGACGGGGGCGAAGUGGGAUGCCCCCGUCCGCUCGUUUUGGUGGGAUGGGGGCAUCCCGCAUCUGGAGGGUAUAUUCCCUCGUAGGGAUGUCCCCGUCCCACCUGUCCUCCAACCAAACGCGGGAUGAAGUGGGAUCGUCCCGUCCCGUUCCACUUCGUCCUCGCAACCAAACGCACCUUAGUAAAAUGGUAACAUGAGCCGAACAUAUAGUAUGAAAGAGUCGACGACAAACAAUGCAUACUGCAAUCAUAAUGCAGAGCACACACACCUGCAUGCUGUCUGCUUGUGGUCUCCGAUCGAGCAAUGAACAUCGCUACUGGUUUGUUCUGUCAGUGAUCUCUGUUUGGCGUUUAUGGGUCCUUGGAUUUUCAUUCAACGACCAGAGAAAAAUAGAAUGCCACAGACAGAUCCUUCAUUGAACAUGAUCUGAACAUGUACUAGAUUACAUCCACGAUACAAUUCCUAAGCUCGACAGGCUAGCUCCAAUGAUACGUUGGAGGGAGGCGGCCGGGGCAUAGGGAAAGGAGGGGGAGGAAAAAUAGAUUUAUAGAUUAGGGUUUGGUUGGUGGGCUGGGAAAUACGGGUGCCAUCGGGCCGACCUGCGGCCCAAAAAUCGUGCUGAGCUUGGGCCGGCACGUAAGCGGCCUAGGUACCGCUUGUUGCAUAGUGCCGGGCUGGUGCAGGCACUAUUCGUCUCGGGCUGAGUCGUGCAUUUUAGGGUCGUGCCUCGGGCGCCCAGUGAGCCUGACAUAUUUGGCCAUCUAUACAUCCAUUUCCCUGCCGCCUCCUGGCCUCACAUGCAUGCAUGUCAAGCAAGCUCCAACGAUAUGUGAUGGCCUGCGUUUUCGGCUGAAAGCGUACGCCAAUCUUUAUUGUAAAGCGUAAACCCGUUCAGUCGCUGGCGUCGUACAAGUGCACCGGUAGCCGGGGCUCCGCGACGGCGACGAACGGCACCUUCCGCUUCGUGGACAGUCCGACGUGCUCCUCCAUGCUCACGUCCUCCUGCUUCACCCCGUCCGGCAGCCGCCACGCGAACCCCUGCACCAUGUUCGCCUCGCCGGCGGCCACCAGCUUCAUCGCGAGGUCGUACGCCGGGCAGAUCCGCCGCCCGGCACCGAACGGCAGCAGCUCGAAGUGCGCCCCGCGCACGUCGAACCGCCUCCGCCACCCAGGAACCUCUCCGGCCGGAAUGCGUCGGGCGCGUCGGGCCACGACGCCGGGUCGCGCGCGAUCGCCCACACGUUCACCAGCACGCGCGCGCCGGCGGGCACGUCGUAGCCGGCGAUCACCGUGUGCUCGCGGGCAUAGUGCGGGACCAGGAGCGGGCCGACGGGGUGCAGCCGCAGCGUCUCCUUCACGACGGCGUCGAUGUAGGGGAGGUCCGGCAGGUCGCGCUCCGUGACCCAGCGCUAGCGGCCGAUGACGCAGUCGAGCUCGGCGGUGGCGGCCGCCAUGGCGUCCGGGUGGCGGAGGAGCUCCGACAUGGCCCACUCUGUUGUCACCGCCGAGCUCUCCGUACCGCCAGCGAUGAUGUCCUGGAUGAAGGCCUUCACGCUAACGCGCGUGAGCUUGGUCUCCGACUCUGGCCUGUGGCUGUCCUCCUCGGUGAGCUGCAGCAGCACGUCGACGAGGUCGCUCGCCACGAACUCGCCGUCGCCGGUGCCGGCUCGCCGCCGCCGCUCCUCGUGCUCAUCGACGAUUUUCUCGUAGAACCGGUCAUGGAGCUCGAUCAGCCGCUUCAUCCGCCGCGAGCAGCCCUGCAGGUCGAGCCAGCCCAGCCACGGGACCCACUCGCCGACGUUGCUCACCGCGCCGGUCACCGCGAACGCCUCGUCCAGCGUGCGCCGGAGCGCCUCGCCCUCGGCGCUGCCGUAGCAGCCCGACCACUUCUCCCCGACGGCCAUGCAGAGGAUGUUCCGCAGCGUGGCGCCGGAGACGUGCUCCCUGACGGCGACGGCGCUGCCGGCGCACCGGAACAGGCCACGCACCAGCGCGCGCAUCUCCUCCGCGCGGACGCGCUCGAAUGACCCCACGCGGCGUGCCGAGAAGAGCUCGGUGGCGCAGAGCUUGCGCGCCAUGCGCCAGUAGGCGCCGUACGGGGUGUGGACGAUGCCCUGGUAGCCGUAGGAGCUGAUCUCGCCGGCGGUGGUGAGCGGGCGGUCGGCGAGGGCGUGGUCGUGGGUCUUGAGGACGAGACGGGCGGUUUCCGCCGACGAGGCCACCACGACGUGGUAGGAGCCGAGGCGGAGGUGCAUGAGCGGGCCGUAGCGCGUUGCGAGCGCCGCCAGCACACGGUGCGGCGGGAGCGCGCCGGCCAGGACGCCGAGGCUGCCGAUCACCGGCCAACCCCGGGGGCCCGGCGGAAGGUUAAGCACCUUCCGCCGGCCGCGUGGCGGGAAAAUAGAGCGGAGGACGAAGACGGCCAAGAUGGCCGCCAUUGCCAUGGCCAUGGACACUGUUGCUGUGAGCUCCAUCGUUG
rnacentral:lncRNA from 1 species